UCGAUUAGAGUUUGAUUCUGGCUCAGGACGAACGCUGGCGGCGUGCUUAACACAUGCAAGUCUACGAGAAAGGGGUAGCAAUAUCCUGAGUAAAGUGGCGCACGGGUGAGUAACACGUAGGCAAUCUGCCUUUAGGACGGGGACAACCUCGAGAAAUCGAGGCUAAUACCCGAUAAUGCAGCGGCACCGCAUGGUGACAGUUGUUAAAGGCCCGCAAGGGCGCCUAUUGAUGAGCCUGCGUCCCAUUAGGUAGUUGGUGAGGUAACGGCCCACCAAGCCUGCGAUGGGUAGCUGGUCUGAGAGGAUGAUCAGCCACACUGGAACUGAGACACGGUCCAGACUCCUACGGGAGGCAGCAGUGAGGAAUAUUGCGCAAUGGCCGAAAGGCUGACGCAGCGACGCCGCGUGAAGGAUGAAGUCCGUUAGGAUGUAAACUUCUUUUGCAGGGGAUGAAUGUGGUUCCUUCGGGUUCCAUUGACCGUACCCUGCGAAUAAGGAUCGGCUAACUACGUGCCAGCAGCCGCGGUAAUACGUAGGAUCCGAGCGUUGUCCGGAAUUACUGGGUGUAAAGGGCGUGUAGGUGGAACUUUAAGUCGGUGGUGAAAGCCUGCAGCUUAACUGCAGAACUGCCCUCGAUACUGAAGUUCUUGAGUGCGGCAGNNNGAGAUGGAAUUCAUGGUNUAGCGGUGAAAUGUGU
rnacentral:rRNA from 1 species